rfam:Homo sapiens chromosome Y, GRCh38 reference primary assembly.
GCUGGGCAUGGUGGUGGAUGCCUGUAAUCCUAGCUACUGGGGAGGCUGAGGCAGGAGAAUCACUUGAACCCGGGAGCUGGAGGUUGCAGUGAGCCAAGAUCAGGCCAUUGCACUCCAGCCUGGGUAACAGAGUGAGACUGUCUCAA